rnacentral:rRNA from 1 species
ACUUCAAAAAUAGGUCUCAGUUCGGACUGUAGGCUGCAACUCGCCUACACGAAGUUGGAAUUGCUAGUAAUCGUGGAUCAGCAUGCCACGGUGAAUACGUUCCCGGGUCUUGUACACACCGCCCGUCACACCAUGGGAGCUGGUAACACCCGAAGUCAGUAGUCUAACCGCAAGGAGGACGCUGCCGAAGGUGGGAUUAGCGACUGGGGUGAAGUCGUAACAAGGUAUC